UUGUCCCCUAGAGUUUCCCUGACCACUUCACUGGGAUCAAGCUUUCCAAAACCCUUCAACUGAGGGUGAAAUUCCAUGCAUGCCAUCCCACUGAAGUGUUUGGGGGAACUCUGGUUGCCAC
rfam:Prunus persica cultivar Lovell chromosome G1, whole genome shotgun sequence.